rnacentral:lncRNA from 1 species
UAAAUUCUCCUCAGUACACUUUACUCCCAACAAGCAAAUUGUACUUCUCUUGCCCUUCCUACAUAGCAAUAUAUCCACGUCAUUUUUGCUACUUUUUUUCUCGAAGUAGCAAUGAGCCAACUAAGUGAUCAGUCUUUUACAACACCUUAUAAUCCAACUCCUAUUUGUGAUUGUGGUAAAUAGUGUUGAAUUUGGAUAUCAAAACAACCACACGGUAAAAGUCGAUGAUUUUAUCGAUGUCCAAAUUGGGGGUAAGUUGAUGUGAUGUUUUAGUGUGCAUAUAAUUAUUAAUUAAAUUCUAAAUAUGUAAUGUUGUAUAUGUUUUACAGGUUGAGGAACAAAGAUGG